rnacentral:rRNA from 1 species
ACAGCAGCAGCCGCGGUAAAACGAAGGGGGCUAGCGUUACUCGGAAUUACUGGGCGUAAAGGGCGCGUAGGCGGCACGAUUAGUCAGGCGUGAAAUUCCUGGGCUCAACCUGGGGACUGCGCUUGAUACGGUCGAGCUAGAGGAUGGAAGAGGGUCGUGGAAUUCCCAGUGUAGAGGUGAAAUUCGUAGAUAUUGGGAAGAACACCGGUGGCGAAGGCGGCGACCUGGUCCAUUACUGACGCUGAGGCGCGACAGCGUGGGGAGCAAACAGGAUUAGAUACCCGGGUAGUCCCUGUCUCUUAUAC